UGGGGAAUAUUGCACAAUGGGCGCAAGCCUGAUGCAGCAACGCCGCGUGAACGAUGAAGGUCUUCGGAUCGUAAAGUUCUGUUGCAGGGGAAGAUAAUGACGGUACCCUGUGAGGAAGCCCCGGCUAACUACGUGCCAGCAGCCGCGGUAAUACGUAGGGGGCUAGCGUUAUCCGGAUUUACUGGGCGUAAAGGGUGCGUAGGUGGUCUUUCAAGUCGGUGGUUAAAGGCUACGGCUCAACCGUAGUUAGCCUCCGAAACUGGAAGACUUGAGUGCAGGAGAGGAAAGUGGAAUUCCCAGUGUAGCGGUGGAAUGCGUAGAUAUUAGGAGGAAUACCGGUGGCGAAGGCGACUUUCUGGACUUGAACUGACGCUGAGGCACGAAAGCGUGGGGAGCAAACAGG
rnacentral:rRNA from 1 species